GGACAGGAAGAAGUAUUUAUUACAAAUCAGUCACUAUAACUCAACCAACCAAGCAAGUCUGUUUGCCAUGACUUGGGGGAAAAAAAGCAGCGCCUCAGAGCACUGGAAUGAAACUGUGCCUGCGUGGAAAGCGGUUUUCCUGGGACUUAUCAUAUGGAAAAGUACUGGACAAGCACAGACACUGAGACAACGCGCCUCCACCGCUUUAAAUUCAGCGCACGCGUUCUAGACUGCACCAACAUGAGACUAAUAACCGAUUAAGUGAGGAAAUAAACACAAUUUAUUUCAAGUGAGGAAACAUUACCUCCUCCUUGUUGCAUAAAAUAUUGCUCCAA